UACGGAGGGUGCGAGCGUUGUCCGGAAUCAUUGGGCGUAAAGGGCGCGUAGGUGACCCGGUCAGCGUGCGGUGAAAGCUCGGGGCUCAACCCCGAGUCGGCCGUGCGAACUGCUGGGCUUGAGCACUGUAGAGGCAGGCGGAAUUCCGGGUGUAGCGGUGGAAUGCGUAGAGAUCCGGAAGAACACCGGUGGCGAAGGCGGCCUGCUGGGCAGUGGCUGACACUGAGGCGCGACAGCGUGGGGAGCAAACAGG
rnacentral:rRNA from 1 species